rnacentral:rRNA from 1 species
ACCAGCAGCCAUAUCACUCUGCAAUUCACAAAUGGCAAUUCACUGAAACUUAGCAGGUGUGAGCCUGGUCAGUACCUGGUGGGAGACCUCCUGGGAAAAACUAAGGUAGCUGCUAGAA